rnacentral:rRNA from 1 species
UACGAAGGGGGCUAGCGUUGCUCGGAAUCACUGGGCGUAAAGGGCGCGUAGGCGGCCAUUCAAGUCGGAGGUGAAAGCCCAGGGCUCAACCCUGGAAUUGCCUUCGAUACUGUUUGGCUAGAGACCGGAAGAGGUAAGUGGAACUGCGAGUGUAGAGGUGAAAUUCGUAGAUAUUCGCAAGAACACCAGUGGCGAAGGCGGCUUACUGGUCCGGUUCUGGACGCUGAGGCGCGAAAGCGUGGGGAGCAAACAGG